CAGCUCCUCUGGAGUCACUUUAAAAUUUGCCUGAAUUGAGGGUUUGGCUCGUCUCGACUCUGGUGACGCUCCACGGUCUCCACGAAGGGACAUUAACGUUGCGAUUAACAUUGUAACCAUCAGCAGGGGCCCGGGCUGUGCAGCCCAUAACGUUUUGAUCUCGUAGAGCUUCCCGUAGGCUCCUGAGUACAGCUUUAUUUCCCCCUUCCCUCCCCUUUCCCCAGCCAGCGGGGCCGCAGCGGGCUAGGGCGCCGGCCGUUAGUUGCGCGGGCAAAGGCGCUCCGCGCCCUACCCGCUCCCACAGCGUCAGCGGAGGAGAGACAGCGGAUGAGGCGCCGGCAGCAGACAAGCCCGCUUCCCUCGGCGGGCAGCCCGUGACAGCGAGUCACCCGCCUGCGCCUUCGCUGCCGGUAGGGCCUAUAUUCUCUCGCGGAAGGUUAUCGUUCACUAGCACGGUGCCGGCCGACGGCAGCGGUGCUGAGGCUCUGAGGCAGCGCUUUGUCAAGAAGCGCCUGAUUGGCUAAAGGGACUCUGCAAUGGUUAGCUGGUGGGAAGGAUUCCUCAGGAAGACCUUAUUACUUUGCUUUUGAAAAGUUUGAGGUGCAGACAACAGGAGGGUCAAACAGUCCGGCUGGUUUUCUGAGGAUUUAGAGAUCAUUUCAGACCUGAGGAAGUGGUCUGGAAGCUGCUGUAAUUCUAUCUGUGCGGCAUCAGAAUUGCCAGAAGGAGAUUUUUAGAAUACAGCUGCCUACAGAGAGUCUGGGAACUACAGAUCUCAAAUAAAAGUAUGAACUACUUUUCUACAAAUCUACAGUUAGAAGCAAGAUAACCUACAAAAACAAUAUCCACCAGGUGAUUUCAUCAUUAGAAUGCUUAAUUAUAUUAACUUAUGUAGACACAUUGACUUAGAAGAAUUUGGAGUAUUCCAGAUGAUUUCAAUCAUAACAUAAAACAUAUUUUAAGAAAACACUGGUUAUAGAAAUCAAUCUUUUGGCUUCUUCAUUCAUAGAGUCACUCAUUACUAGCCUGGAACACCUUUUUUUUUGUUGUUGUUGUUGGCUGUAAGCUUUGGUUUCCAAUGCUUGACCUUUCAAGAAUGACUAGAUAAUUAGAGGUAUCACAUCCACCAAGGCCACUAUGGUUACCUCCUACCUUGCUGUUUUGGAGAGAUGUGCACAGUAUUUUGGAAGCAGAGUAUAAUUACAGAUAGACUCACAGGUAUGAGUGAAAAAGAAGAAUGCAAUCUUUCUCACUCCGUACAUGUAUCAUGUUCCCUCACACAUCUGGACCACCCAUAACACUUAUUUUGCAAGCUGUUGAAGUCUAGCCUGGACUCAUGAGCUGGUUGUUGUUCCUUUGUCCUAGUAAUGCCUUGGUUCCAUCCCAGUGAUAUGUCAAAGCUUGUAUUUCUGAGGGUGGAAAAAUACAAAUUAAAUGGAAGAAUAAACAAUGCUGUUUUAACAAUGAAAGUUUUGGAGGGCUUUUUUAAUACCAUAACAACAAAUGUUGGUAGAUUAGACAUAGUAAUUGAGGUAUAUGAAUGGACUGAAUAAAUCAGAAGCUUAAGCAUGACAGAGAUCUGGAAUUUAUCUAACUCAGAGAUGCAAAAACGGUCUGUAAUUUACAUUCCAAGUAUGGAAGCAGGAUGAGUAACCAUGUCAACAGAGUAAAAAACAAGGAAAAGGUCUAUAUGGAAUGGAGGACGGAAAUUAUUGAAGCAAGCUGUUAAUUGGAGAUUUGGAGGCAAAGGACUCAACGAUGAUUAGCCAAACCUAGACUUUGCUAGAUCUUGCAAAGAAUAAACCAAAAAGCAAAAGACUAGUGGUUUAGGUAGCACAUUGCAACUAGCACAAAAGGAAGGGGAAGCCCUAAAGCACUGAUGUUAUGUAUAAUCUAGCUACACUC